rnacentral:rRNA from 1 species
ACGGGUGAGUAACGCGUGGGUAACCCGCCUCAUACAGGGGGAUAACAGUUAGAAAUGACUGCUAAUACCGCAUAAGCGCACAGUGCUGCAUGGCACAGUGUGAAAAACUCCGGUGGUAUGAGAUGGACCCGCGUCUGAUUAGCUAGUUGGUGGGGUAACGGCCUACCAAGGCGACGAUCAGUAGCCGGCCUGAGAGGGUGAACGGCCACAUUGGGACUGAGACACGGCCCAAACUCCUACGGGAGGCAGCAUG